AGCUGACGUCAAGACCAAGUUCCUGUCUCAUCACCAGUAGUGUUUAUCCUUCAAUUUUUGCCUUUUUUGCCUUUAUUUCUCUCCUCUCGGCGGCUACAAUGACCUGCAGGCUUAGAUAGCAGUAGAAGAAACCAAGAUGUGGAGGGGUGUCCCAGAGGGAGACCAGGGGGGGUCUCCUCCCCCCACGGACCCCCCAGAAGAACACACCGAAGCCAGUGGCAGCAGUGAUAUAGCGGUUGUGAAGCAAGAGCUGGGAGACCUUCAGGAUCAGUUUGACGAACAGCAAGCUCUCAUUGGCCAGCUGAAGGACAUGCUCAAGAAGAAGGAGACGGCACUCUCUUCCAGGGAGA